GGAACGAUCACUCUGUUCAUUAUAAUAAACUUAAAACAAUUAAUAAAUGCCACAUCAUAAUAACAGUGCAGCUUACAUUUAUACAAAUUGAAAGUUCAUUAAACUUUAAUGUAUAAUUUUGAAACCAAUGGAAGAGGAUAUACGUAAAGUACGAAAAAACAAUAAGUGAUGUUACUACAACAAUAAUUAUAUCUAACAUCAAUAAGUCCAUUGAUAAUGCCAUUCCUGCUUCCACUAAAUUACCAACAUUUCUUGGUUGAUCAUAAUAAAGAGGGAAUCCAAGAACCGGGACUCCAGCAUCUACGGCUUCAUACACUCCAGAUAUUCCACCGUGGCUUAUAAAUAAUUUUAUAUUUGGAUGAACUGAAAUGCAAUCCAUUUAUUUCACCGUCAUACUUCCACAAUACUCUUUGAGGAACUUUUGCAAAUGCUUCAAUGAAUGUUUGUUUAAUGUGCUUUGGCAAAGUUGACAUUGAU